rnacentral:tRNA from 1 species
GUCGUAUUAGUAUAGUGGUUAGUACUCCUCCUUGUGGUCCGAUUCAUUCAAUUGAAUCCUCAGCUCGGUGGUAACGCAGGCUCGAAUCCUGCAUGCGACA